GUUAUUCACUUCUCUCCUCUAAUUUCCCCUCUUAUCUCCUCCUUAAAUUUCACUCGGUUAUUGAGAGAUGCGAUUCUAGAGAUAAAUAAAGAGAGGAACAGGUGUUGCCCUGUCGUUGCCGGUGGCUUCGGCCGUCUAUGGCGGCGGCGGGCGUACUAUGUGCGACGCCUCUGUUGCUUUUUACCUCUGGCUUUGAUUCUUUUCAUUUGCGUCGAUGUUGGAACGAAGAAUGGAUGUAGUGGACUAUUAGGACCAAAUCUGGAACAACCAGAUACCUAAGUUGAGUUCAUUGAUUUCUUUUCAUUUCUGAAUGAUAUAAGGAUUUCCUGUGCCCGUUGUAACCAUGGCUAUACAACGGAUUCGCAUGGAUAAACGCAGCAACGACUGAGGCGAUUGAAGGUUUUAGUUGUAUAGGGGAUCGUCAAUAGUGAAUGGUUGUUUUGGCUUACUAAAGGCAUCUGAAUUGGGUCAAACAAUAGCAGCAAAUAGGGGUCGUUAUCAUGGGGUAAGCCUACGGUAGCGCGCUGUGAAACAAAAAUGGUUUUUGGGGGGUGGCGAACGACACAACGGUUCCAUUUCCAGUUAUAAUCUUCAUGCUUGCACUAUAACUUGAAUGAUGCUUUCAUGCUCACAGCCACAUUAGUCCAAAAGGGUGUGAAACACCGCCCAACGGGCAUGAGUGGGGCUUGAUGGUCAGCCGUUUAGGGCAGUGGCGAAGCUUGAGAUUUCCGGUCGGGGGUCGCAAACGUAUAUACCAAAAAUUUCUAUAAAACCGAGGGGUCAAAAACGUGUAUACCAAAAAAUUUCUAUACGAAAAUUACAUACUCUCCACUAACGAGCGAAAAGUUCGGGGGGUCGACCGCCCCCUCCCGCCACCACAAAGCUCCGCACUUGGUUUAGGGCGGGUCACAAGCAUAGGAAUGGAGUAGUUAAAAGUGUCAUUUGGUAUUGCAACUGUUCAGUUAUCAUUUGCUGAAUUUUUGUAGAUAACUUGAAUGAAUGUUUUUAACUGUACCAUAUGUUUUGUAAUAUGAGGAUUAUGCAAAGAUGCUGAAUGGUUGCCCCAGUGGAAAAUUCCCAGGCUUUCUUUUUGGGGGAUAUGUUUAUUACUUUUGUGGUUCUGAUGCACCUAAAUUCGAAAACUCUUGCAUAAGAGGUUAGU
rnacentral:lncRNA from 1 species